GCUGGGGUGGUGAAAUUGGCAGACACAUCAGUUUUAGGAACUGAUGCCGUAAGGCGUGCGGGUUCGACUCCCGCCCCCAGCA
rnacentral:tRNA from 1 species